UGCAGUCGNNCGGCAGCACGGGAGCAAUCCUGGUGGCGAGUGGCGAACGGGUGAGUAAUAUAUCGGAACGUGCCCAGUCGUGGGGGAUAACGUAGCGAAAGCUACGCUAAUACCGCAUACGAUCUACGGAUGAAAGCGGGGGACUCGUAAGGGCCUCGCGCGAUUGGAGCGGCCGAUAUCAGAUUAGGUUGUUGGUGAGGUAAAAGCUCACCAAGCCUGCGAUCUGUAGCUGGUCUGAGAGGACGACCAGCCACACUGGAACUGAGACACGGUCCAGACUCCUACGGGAGGCAGCAGUGGGGAAUUUUGGACAAUGGACGCAAGUCUGAUCCAGCAAUGCCGCGUGCAGGACGAAGGCCUUCGGGUUGUAAACUGCUUUUGUACGGAACGAAACGGUCUGCUUUAAUACAGUGGGCUAAUGACGGUACCGUAAGAAUAAGCACCGGCUAACUACGUGCCAGCAGCCGCGGUAAUACGUAGGGUGCGAGCGUUAAUCGGAAUUACUGGGCGUAAAGCGUGCGCAGGCGGUUAUAUAAGACAGAUGUGAAAUCCCCGGGCUCAACUUGGGACCUGCAUUUGUGACUGUAUAGCUAGAGUACGGUAGAGGGGGAUGGAAUUCCGCGUGUAGCAGUGAAAUGCGUAGAUAUGCGGAGGAACACCGAUGGCGAAGGCAAUCCCCUGGACCUGUACUGACGCUCAUGCACGAAAGCGUGGGGAGCAAACAGGAUUANGUACCCUGGUAGUCCACGCCCUAAACGAUGUCAACUGGUUGUUGGGUCUUCACUGACUCAGUAACGAAGCUAACGCGUGAAGUUGACCGCCUGGGGAGUACGGCCGCNANGGUUGAAACUCAAAGGAAUUGACGGGGACCCGCACAAGCGGNGGGAUGAUGUGGUUUAAUUCGAUGCANCGCGAAAAACCNUUACCCACCNUU
rnacentral:rRNA from 1 species